UACGUAGGGCGCAAGCGUUGUCCGGAUUCACUGGGUGUAAAGGGUGCGCAGGCGGAUUCGUAAGUCAGAGGUGAAAUCUCACGGCUUAACCGUGAAACUGCCUUUGAUACUGCAGAUCUUGAGUUUGGGAGAGGUUGAUGGAAUUCCAGGUGUAGCGGUGAAAUGCGUAGAUAUCUGGAAGAACACCAGUGGCGAAGGCGGUCAACUGGCCCAUAACCGACGCUCAGGCACGAAAGCGUGGGGAUCAAACAGG
rnacentral:rRNA from 1 species